GCUACUAUCUUUCUUAUCUUUGUUUUCCUCUGGUUGUGUGUUUACAAGUGUAAAACUGUGGUGGUGCUUUGUAAUAUAUAUAAUUAGUUUGCAUGAUUUGCUAGGGGUAGCUUUAUGUGCAUAACUGCUUAUUUUUGAAGUUCUAGCUGCAGGCUCUUAUGUCUGAUCCUUUACUGUGAUUUGGAGUGAUUUUAAGUUGAUCAAAAUUGUCUUCAAAUAUUUUGUGCCUUCAGGGAAUUUGGCAAUUUUAGUUGAUUAGUGUUCUUGGUUGGUUGUGUGGCUACCAUGUGUUUCUGAUUCGAGAUGGCUGUGGGAUCGAGAAAGAUUAAAAUUAGUUUGUUUCUUGAUUGUGUGCAUUCUGUGUUGUUGCUGAUUUUGGUGGAUAAGAAUGGAAGGCUCCUCUGAUUCUUGCUGGCAGAAGUCUGACAGUUCCAGAGGACUUAAACGCUCCGCGGUUUCUGACAGAAACCCCUUGUCAAUUCGUGCUAAUUCUAUUAGGUCAUUAGAUGAGACGACAAAUGCUUAUGAGUAUAUUCUGGGGAGAAGGGGAGAACUUGGGUUUCCUAGAUCCUGUGAAGAGGGGAAGGCAGGUGAUCGUGAAAGAGAGCGGACUGAUGUCAGCUUGAGGCAGUGGCUGGACAACCGUGACAGAGCGGUGGCUGCCCCUGAAUGCUUACACAUUUUUAGGCAGAUAGUAGAGGUGGUCUCUCUAGCACAUUCGCAGGGUCUUGUGGUUCAUAAUGUUAGGCCCUCCUGCUUUGUCAUGUCCUCAUUCAACCACGUCUCUUUUAUUGAGUCCGCUUCUUGCUCAGAUUCAGGCUCAGAUUGUGAUUCAGAUAACCAAACAGCAGAUUCAGGGGGGCCUGGUUUGCCUUCCUCGCGUGAGCCAGGUCACCACAAUAGACAGCUAGGGAAAGAAAGUUCUUCUCACAGUAUAAAUCAGAGAAAUGCUUCACAGAUGAGAUCAGGAAGUAGCUGUUUGCAGUCGGGCUCUGAGAAUUUAACCAAUGCAUCAGCAAAAGCUAGUAAUGCUUACCAAACUGAUGUAAAGGCUCCUCAAUUUCCAAUGAAACAAAUCUUGCGAAUGGAAACAAAUUGGUAUACGAGUCCAGAAGAGGUCUCUGGCGCUCCAAGUUCUUGUGCUUCUGAUAUAUAUCGUUUGGGGGUACUCCUUUUUGAGUUGUAUUGUACAUUUAGCUCAGCAGAAGAGAAGUGCGGGACAAUGUCUAAUCUGAGACAUCGCGUCCUUCCUCCACAAUUGCUGCUCAAGUGGCCUAAAGAAGCUUCAUUUUGCUUAUGGCUGUUGCAUCCUCAGCCUACUAGUAGGCCAAAGUUGGGUGAAUUAUUGCAAAGUGAGUUUCUUAAUGAGCCGAGAAAUGACUUGGAAGAACGUAAAGUGGUUUCAGAUCUUAAAGAGAAGAUAGAGGAGCAGGAGUUAUCUCUAGAGUUCCUUCUACUGAUGCAACAAAGGAAACAGGAAGCUACAGAUAAAUUGUGUGAGAUGGUAUCGUUUAUUUCAUCUGAUAUAGAUGAAGUAAAAAAAUUGCAGCAUGAGAGCAAAGGACGGUCCAGUUCAAAGAAGAAUCCUUCUGACUCCACUUUAUGCGCGUCUUCAAUUGAAAAUAACGAUUCUGGCUGCUUAAAUUCUAGAAAACGGCCCAGGCCAGGGUCUCAGAAUUAUAACGCUCAAGAAGUAGAUGGUGGUAACGACGUUUAUCAGAACUCAGAAGCUCCCACUGACAAGCAAGACAAAAUGAUAUCCAGAAGUACUCGUUUGAUGAGAAAUUUCCAGAAAGUAGAAUCCGCUUACUUGUUAACUAGGCGCAGGGCUGGCAGACCAACAGAAAAGCCAUUCAGAAAAAAUUCAUCUUUGAGUAUUGCUGGUAGAGGAUCUGUUGUUGCCAGUGAAAGAAGUCCUCUCAACAGUUUGCCAGUCGUAGAGAAUUAUGGGGAGAGCAGGAGGAUUGAUGGAUGGAUCGAUUCGUUCUUGGAGGGGCUUUGCAAGUAUUUAACGAUCACAAAAGUUAAGGUUAAAGCAGAGCUGAAGCAAGCUGAUCUUUUGAAUUCAUCUAAUCUGGUAUGCUCUUUAGGUUUUGAUCGCGAUGGAGAAUUUUUUGCAACAGCUGGAGUGAAUAAGAAGAUAAAAGUAUUUGAAUACGGUACAAUCCUAGAUGAAGACCGUGAUAUCCAUUACCCCGUUGUUGAAAUGUCUAGUCGAUCAAAGCUAAGUAGUAUAUGCUGGAAUGGCUACAUCAAAAGCCAGAUCGCUUCCAGUAACUUUGAUGGCGUUGUGCAGGUAUGGGACGUUGUGAGAAAUCAAGUGUUCACAGAAAUGAAAGAGCAUGAGAAGCGCGUGUGGUCUGUAGACUACUCAAUGGCGGAUCCAACUUUGUUGGCCAGCGGGAGCGAUGAUGGCUCUGUUAAGCUCUGGAAUAUCAAUCAGGCAAUAAUAUACUUGCAUUUGGUGGCUGUCAGCUUUGAAACUAAACGGAGUCAGCGUGGCCACGAUCAAAACUAAAGCCAAUGUCUGCUGUGUCCAGUUCCCCUCAGAUUCCAGUAACUAUCUGGCAUUUGGUUCUGCAGAUCAUAAUAUCUAUUAUCAUGAUCUUCGGAACUUGAAAACGCCUCUAUGCACGUUGGUUGGUCACAACAAAACCGUGAGCUACAUCAAGUUCAUUGAUUCAAAGAAUCUGGUGUCUGCAUCAACGGAUAAUACCCUGAAGAUGUGGGAUUUGUCAGCUUGCACUUCCCGAGUUCUUGAUUGUCCUCUUCAGUCGUUUACAGGUCACGCGAAUGUAAAGAACUUUGUAGGUUUAUCCAUAUCUGAUGGCUACAUCGCGACAGGCUCAGAGACGAAUGAGGUUUUCAUCUACCAGAAAGCAUUUCCAAUGCCUGCUUUAUCAUUCAAAUUCGACAACCCAGACCCGCUCUCUGGUGAUGAAUUAGACGACAGUGCACAAUUCAUCUCGUCUGUCUGCUGGCGCAGUCAGUCCUCCACUUUGCUUGCUGCAAAUUCAAUGGGAAACAUAAAGCUACUCGAGAUGGUUUAGGUUGCUCAGUUGGCUCCAUAAGUAAUGGUACAAUUCGAGAAGAAAUGAAACUGCUUCCCCAGUACUUGCAGUUCAGGACUGAGCAGCUACAAACAAACAUGGUUGAUCUACAGGGCUCGUGAAGACGAGAGAAGAUCUAGAUCAAGUGAACAUGUUGUAAUGAGCUCUAAUGAUUCUUUCAAAGUGAACAAUAUCACAAUGAUUCUUCUGAUCAAUUCAUUGUACAUAAAGAUUUUCAGGGAAAGGAGAAAAGGGUGAACAUUGUGCUUCACUUUUUUACAUUAUGUAACUUCUACAAUAUAUCAAAACAUUACAAGCCUUAGUCACUAAA